AGACAGGUGGUGCAGCUGGUGAAAAUCCUGAAGAAGCCAUCAGGUUCCUUGGUUUGAAACAACAGGUCCACUAAGACAAGGGCUCUAGAUACCAAUUGUUGGAGCUGAGAGCAACUAACAACAAGUUUCAGCCUAUUGCUUGAGCAGCAAGUGUCGUGACUUGCAGCAGAAACAAGCAGAAAACUAAAAAGAAUAAAGCAGGAAGAAUGGAGAGAGUUUUUGAAUGAAAACUUGAUUAAAUUCAUUCAUCAAAAAAAUGGCUUAAUGCCAAUACAUAAAUCAAGCUUCUAGCUUGUCAAGACAGUAGGUUAACCAAAACUAUACCUACUACCACUAAGUUUCCUAGUAAAUUGGAAUGAUAACUUGUGCAAAUGAAUAAAGCUGGUAAACAGCUCAAUCACCAUCAAGUUUACAUCAAAUAUCAUCUUAUCAUAGUUCAAAAUGAACUAGGUUACAUUACAUAAACAAAAAAAAAAUUCAAAUGAAACUAAACAUCCUUGCUUUCUC
rnacentral:lncRNA from 1 species